rnacentral:tRNA from 1 species
GGAGAGUACAGCUCAGUGGUAGAGUGCAUGCUUAGCAUGCAUGAGGUCUCGGGUUCAAUCCCCAGCCCCUCUA